rnacentral:rRNA from 1 species
UGGCGGCAUGCUUACACAUGCAAGUCGAACGGUAGAGUAGCAAUACUUGAGAGUGGCGAACGGGUGAGUAUAUAUCGGAACGUGCCCAGUCGUGGGGGAUAACGUAGAGAAAUUUACGCUAAUACCGCAUACGAUCUACGGAUGAAAGCGGGGGAUUCGCAAGAACCUCGCGCGAUUGGAGCGGCUGAUAUCAGAUUAGGUUGUUGGUGAGGUAAAAGCUCACCAAGCCGACGAUCUGUAGCUGGUUUGAGAGAACGACCAGCCACACUGGGACUGAGACACGGCCCAGACUCCUACGGGAGGCAGCAGUGGGGAAUUUUGGACAAUGGGCGAAAGCCUGAUCCAGCAAUGCCGCGUGUGGGAAGAAGGCCUUCGGGUUGUAAACCACUUUUGUACGGAACGAAACGGUCUGCUUUAAUACAGCGGGCUAAUGACGGUACCGUAAGAAUAAGCACCGGCUAACUACGUGCCAGCAGCCGCGGUAAUACGUAGGGUGCGAGCGUUAAUCGGAAUUACUGGGCGNUAAGCGUGCGCAGGCGGUUAUAUAAGACAGUUGUGAAAUCCCCGGGCUCAACCUGGGAAUUGCAUCUGUGACUGUAUAGCUAGAGUACGGUAGAGGGGGAUGGAAUUCCGCGUGUAGCAGUGAAAUGCGUAGAUAUGCGGAGGAACACCGAUGGC